UCCUUGUUUCUUAUUUCUUUCUCUGGUUGUUUUAUGCGUUCGAACGCAAAGCAUACACGCUGCUCCGUCAAUGAAUUCUGAUCGCGCGAAACCCUGUACCGACGGUCGGUAAAAAGUUCCUCUUGCAGAAGUUUGUAAAGCGAGAACACCUAGUUGCAAUUAUGUACUCGGUUUAAUUCUGUUCUUGACACUCUGUGUCGUUUGAUCGCGAGCCGUUUCCACAUCCACGGCUAGCCGUCGUGCCAAACGUGGUACACGCAUGUUUAUUUGCAUCCGUGGAUAUUAAGAGUGCAUUACCCGAGUUUCGGCACUCGGGAAACGGGGACUAUUUCGCAAACAGCGAGGACCAAAGUUUCCGACUUAAAAGAAGUUUGGACAACGGUAGAUUAGCUUCUGAUUAAAACAAGAAGAUCGAUAUUGUAACGGAAAAGGAAUUUGUCAAUCAAAGAAACUGUAUUAAAUUACGUUAUGCUAACGCAACGAAUAUAAUUUGCAUAUUACUCGCAAGUCCAACAUGCAAAUCCAAGGAACUACUCGGCAUCUAUGUUUUACCUGGAAAAGAGUGCGCCACCGUAUACGUAACUGGGAAUAAACGUGGUUAUUAUUAGAAGAAAUUGUAUGCGGAUAUAACUAAUAAUGACGUGUAAUAGUAUUUUCGUCUCAUGGUGGAAACUGAAGGCUUGGAAAUUCGGUAGUCGCAUACAUAAGCGGCAGAAGCACGAUUAAACUUUAAAAUGCAAUUAUCUCAAAAUAACUGUGCUCGGCAGUUAGCAAGUCUGCGCUCAGUAGGGCAACGUAACCCUUAUAAUUGCUCUGAAUUAAUACAUCAAACAGCUAUGUUAUCUAACAUGCACUGUACUAUGGUACUAAUUUGUUGUUUAUUUUCCGAUUCGUUUAUGGAUGGCAUAAAAGAGGACUCAUUUAGGUGAGAUGUUUUAUGUACAAAUCGAGCAAGAUUGCCAAAAGGAUUAAUGAUGCUCUAGACGAGCGUUGCAAAAUUGGCAAGUGGUUAUUCGAAUUGUUGUAAUAAACCACAAUACGAUGCCAGCCAGAACCGGACGUAAAUCGAACAAGGUCGUUGCGCGCCUAUUGAAUCAGGCUUUAUGCGUUUUGACAUUGAGCUUGCAAUCUGAAAACGAUGUCGUUUUCGUUCUUAAUCUUAUAGCAGAUUUAAUGCACGAGAAAAUGAACAGUGACGAAUGUUUACGCUUCUUCGUGGACACGUUGACAAUAUUUCUUCCAACCGAACGUAUAAAUUUUUUAGUCCUAUCAAAUCUGAAAAGAUUAUUUUUUCCAUACUCCACCGUCGAGCCAUUAAAAAAAAAAAAAAAAAAGAAAAGAAAAGAGAAGAAAAGAAAGGAAAAAAGCGUACAUCGUAGUCAAACGAUUGAAAAGGUUUUAGUAGUACAUAUACGCAUUCUGUGGCAAAGCGAUUCGAACGUUGGCAUAGCUGAUCAGACAAGAAUGAAGUUGGUUAAACGUGAAAAUAAAGUGCUCUCUGGAAGCUUUACGCCAAGCACGUACACGCAAGCUGCAAUUUGCAUGCUUUUAUGCGGUGCGAAGUUUACAACAAGCGCGUACACGUGCCACCGCCGGAAAAGUUUCCUGUUUUUCUUACGAACUGCUCGUUCGAGGGGAUAUCCGAAUGGAUAAAUUACGUCGUCGCUCUCGGCUGCCUUGCGACGCGUGCCACGCGUCUAGGGGAAAAAAAGUUCCCCACUCGAGAGUUUUUUUCCCUAACCUUGUCACCGAUACUAUACGAAAUAAGCUUAUUAAAUCACUCAGAGCCGGGAUAAUUAAAUAAACGAAUAUGAUGAUUUGAAUUUUGCAAAGUUUUAAUUAUUUAUCUUUAAUCAUGGAGCUUUCUAAAGAAAGAUCUAUAGAAACUACAUUCUCUAAUUAAAUACUUGAAACUUUGAUUUACUUUCUAAAUAUAAACAGAACAGAGUUGUUCGAGAAGCUGUAAGUUGUUGUAAAAAUUGAAACUAAAACUUCCGACGCAAUUUGCUCGAUCCACUGUUUUAUCUUGUGAAGCUUUUUCGCAGAAAGCUUCUCAAUUAUCGGUUUAUAACAAAUUGCUAGCUGUGUAUAAUUAUGUGCCACGUGAAGUUUCCGUUUGUAGUGUACGAAUGAAAUUGCGGAACGUUUCUAGUUAUUCUCCGAAUUCUUCGCAUUCCGACAGCUUCGUAUGCAAACGUUUAAGAAUUUACAUAUUUGAAAACAAAAAUGGCAAUACGAUAUCGCGUGCGAUAACCUUCGACUCGUAUUCAAAUUAUUAAUACACUUAUCGUGUCUAUCGCUUCUUUUUCUUGUACAUUUUAUGUCCCAUUAUAAUCUUAAAGAUCGUUAUGACGCAUUAAUCUUCUUUAAUUCGUGUAGAAUGUUGCGAAUUUCUUGGAAACGCGUCGUUAAUCCUUUCGUGUUUGAUCAAGUUUUCCGAUCAUGUUCAUACUGUUCAUAGCCUUAUAAGUAUGUAGAGGAAUCGUAUUAAUUAGGGAAGAUAUACUGAAAUUAUCUCGAGUCAUAUUCAUCCUUCUCACAUAUAGUAGCUUGUUAAAGUAUUUCCAUAUUUAUCAUAGAAAAUUCUUGAAAACGAAUUGUUGCUAAUGAAUUUUCAAAAUGUUCUAAUAUAUUCAUAAUAGAUUUGUACAAUGCCUCGAAUACAUUCGCUAGCUACUAUAUUAAGUAAGGAUAAUUACGACUGCGUAAUAAUAUUCGGUUAAUCUCGAAUUAAUUGGCAGCUCGUUCGAAGGCACGACAAACGAUCGAAAAUUGUCCUUAACUUGUCCGUGACAAAUUCGAUUCCCUGUGACAUAAACGUCGCUGAUGGUGUUGCGUAAUUUUACGUAAUUACUCCCUCGUCGCUGGAAUAGCUGCUUCGUCCGGAGUUUAUACUGAAGCACGCGGAUCAUUAAUAUCCGAAAUUCUUGGCCUUUCUUCUGCCGAUUGAACGGUCGGCUUGCGUAUCUGGCAUUUUCGUUAAAAAAAGAAGCGCCGUUUAUUACGAUGGGCAAGGCGUAUCAACGUAGAACGACCUUGAUAAGAGAUUCAAGGAAAUAGAGAAUGAAUGAACUGGCAGGCUGAUCGAUCUCUCGAUAGUUUCGUAACGUUGACAGAAACAAAAAGACGAAUUGCAGAAGAAGAAGGCACGACUAGAUGCGAAGAGUGAGGAUAGCGACGAAGAGAAGGGAGGAGAACGCAAGGUGGAAAGAAGUUGCAGCGAAAUAAAUUAUGCAAAAUACUUUCCUUCGUUGGAAUAUGAAAUCGCGCCACGGAGUUUCUCGUCACACGAGGCAAAAGAAUUUACUUUGCCACGGCGAAUCAGAGACAGAGAGUAAAAAAUAAAUUCGAUAAUAUUCUGAUUCGGCGUUAUCAAAUCCGAUUGUUGACGAGCACAACAGUAGCGCGA